GCAAAUAUAAAUAUGCUGGCUUGUCAGAGUUGUCACUUUUACAGAAAGGUGCCUGAUCCAGGCAGAAGGGUGGAUCUGAAGGGUUUUCUGGGUCUCUGGUUGAAUUUCUCCUCAAAGCUAGAAAGUCGGUAGUCUGCAGGCAGGUACUCACAGAGGAUUUGGGAAAUCUGGGCUUAAUUUUUUAUUCUGUAAGAUUUAGAGCACAGCUUGAACACAGCUCUUCCAUUAACCCUUGUGAGUGCCCUAAUGUCGUGGGCUAUCCAGAUAGUUUUUCUCUGCCUCGGUAAUUUAUUUCUACAAACUGGAAAAUGUCCUACAGAAGGAAUUUAAAAAUGGCAGAGUUUCUGGCUGAGUCUGUAGCUUGAUUAUUAUGACAAGGAUGUAGGAGACUCUUGUCAAAGUCCUCGAUGCGCUGCAUGUUUAAUUAUUAAUACAAAGCAGACUUUCUCCAGUGGAAUAGAUUGAAAACAAUCCAUUCUGCCACCUGAUGGACAGGUCCCUUACCAGGCCUAUCACAUAUGUGCAUAGUAGUGCUUAGUCUGAAUGAAACUGAAAGAGUAUUUGAAACUUGUUUUUUUAUGCACCACUUCCGAAUAGCUGCAAAAUGAACAACUGUGUCUGCAGUGACAAUACAAAAAUCAUUGUCAAAGGGGGACCCACCUUUCUGGGUGACUACUGCAAGCCUUACAACACCUCAAGAAGCACAGUCAGAGUGCUGGCCCAGAGCAUGAAGGAGCGUGUUCACCUGGCAACAUACAACGCUGCUCAGCUUGCUUACACCAGCCAGUCACAGGCAGCGUGUCAGGCAAGUGCAUCUGGACAAGUCCACAACUGCUGCAUACAUCACCAGUUUCUAAAUUUUACCAGAACUACACUAUGGUGAAAAUUAUGAUGAGAACAGAAACCAUUUCUAGGAUCUAAAACACACUGGAUGGAUAUAUUAAUUUAUUCGUUUUGUCAGUUCCCCGUGACAGAAAGGUCUGUCCUGAUGCAUUCAUUGAUCCAGCUUUUCUCCACUUAUUUGCUAAACCUUCAGGUACUGAGGAUAUAAAACUAUACCAGAAGCAGGUGAACUGAGGACAUCCAGACACUGUGGAGAUGGUUGAAUUUAUCUGUAGUUCUGGCCUCCACAAACUGAGCUAUACGUGUCAGCUACUGAAUUUAUUCUCCCUGCUCUGUUCCAUCUAUUUCUCCAUGCAGUUCUUCAAGGAGUUCACACAAACACCCAUCUCCUUGCUUGUUAUAAGUAGCUUGCUUUAAAUUACUUGCAAGGUAUUUUCAACCUCAUGGAAUUCUCACUACAGGUGACAAAAGAUUUUUUUGUUUUUAAAUUGCAUAUUUAACUGGUAAAAGUUGCCCACUGAAGUACUGAUUCACAGAAAUAAGACACUGCAGCCUGUAUUGCUGUGCUGCAAUUUCAGACCCACAGGUGACUGACCUGUUCCAGGACUGCCUUGUUCCACCAUAUUUGCAAACAAACAGGAGCAAUGAGAUUAUUGUACUUAUAAAAAGGGGCCUGGAAAUGAAUUCAGAGGUGGUCAUGCUGAACUUGUAUAUUGCCUGAAGGAACAGGACACUGGGUAGGGUCUGAAUAACCCUUCAGACUGAGAGUUAGUUCGUAUUUAGAAGUCAGAAAUUGAGCUUUCUAUUUAGUAGCACUUCAGUGCUCUGAUAUUUUCUGCUAAUGACACUGCAAAUGUUUUUAUUCUGUUUUUCAGUGAGGACACAAGUGACACAGAAAGGUAAAGUUGUGAGGUCAAGGUAACAGAAGGGACAGAAUUUAUUGUAUCAUCGAAGAAUUUUCCAUCAGUCUUUAAUAUAUCCUUCUUACAUGAAGUCUGGCAAAACUGAAGACAUGUAAAGCAAUGGAAAUGUUCCUGCCACUAAGAAAUCUGGACAUGGCCAGGAAUGUGCAGUGAUGAAGUGUCUUAGAACUCUUCAGUUUCUUCAGCCAAGGACUUCUCUUGACAUGAAAUCAACAAGCCAUUUCAGAAGUGGAGUGGACUGAGUAGUUACUCACAGACUCACCUCGAUGCAAAUGCAGCAAACCCUUUUAGCAGUGGAGUGCAUUGAGUACUUAGUCAGUUUUAGAGAUGUCUCUGAACGCACUGUGACUGCCAGGUGAUGAGUAUUUAAUAAUGCUUGUGCUUCAAUUAGAAGUGCUGGUCUCAGAAUUCAACAAAGCCCUUCCUAACAUCCUCACUGAAUCAAACAUUUUCUCUCGCAACUCCCAUCCACUGUCAGGUAAGUUCAGCAGAUGAGAAAAGCUUGCCUGUUUUCAGCAGAGAGAGUAUUUCUUCAAAGCACUUCUUUCUGCAUGUUGAUCUUUUACAUGUAUGCCCAGUUAACCCUGUUUUAAAAGAACAUUCUUAACCUUUGACUGGGAUUUUGAGGACAACAGCAGCCUCUGCUGUUUUGACAGACUGCCUUUGUUCAAGUGGCUUUUUGGAACUUGUGUUUGGUAUAUUAACCAUAGAUGUGCUCGUUCUCAUUUGUUUAAUUCAUACUGUGCUUAAGUCACUCUGACCAGCCCAUUAUGUAUCCCUUUGUACACUACAGGACAUUGUAUUAGUGUGAUGGUUAGUAGCUCAGCCAAGUAAUAAUUUGAAGUUGCAAAAUCUGGGUUUGGGAGCAACAUGCCUUCUACCCAUCUACUGAUGUAACUCACACAUAUCAGAAAUGAAGCAGAAUAAGAUAUUUUCAUUUUCCGGGACCAACAUACUGCCAUAGAUUUCUCCCCUUCCAGACAGUAUUAACUGUAUGAGGCUUUCACACACAUCCACCUUGUUUACAUUAUAAUUUCUACUCACAUAGGGCAGAAAUAGGAUUCCCAAAACACAAUAUAGCAAUAAACACUGUUAAAAAAAAUGUAAAAAAUGACUGACCAGGCAUGCAAUAUGCUUCUUGCCUCUGUAUAAAUCCUAUGUGGAUGUGGAUGAUUUGAUUUAUUUUCCAUAUCAAAAGCAAUAUCUUUCCUAAGGCAAUAUUAGAAUAGUUUUUAAUGAUAACAGACUGUGUAGUGAUGACUUUUUUAUAUAAAUUUAAUGAUUUUUACCGUAGGCCCUCCUAUUUGAAAACCUAUAUGAAAUCAAGUGAAUACUAGCUAAAUACCACCCUCCCUACUCUAACUAUAGGUGAGUGUAAUUUUGAAAAGAUAUUGUCUUAAUUGGACUGAUUGCAUCUGCUGAAUGUAGUGGUGACAAGUUUAAGAAAGAAUAACAUUUAAGGAUUAUUGCCUUAAAUUAACAAUCCACAACUUUGUAGACUCGAUUGCAGUUUAUCUUGUUAAAGAUAGUCAAAGUUGGUAUUCAGAUAUCCUUCUUACAUUUUCCAGGGUCUCUUGGCCUUAUUAAUUCAAAUCUUACUUUCAAUGUAUGCAUGUAGCCAAGAUAAUUAUUAGAAGGAGAGAUCAAAGCAAGCAUAUUAUAGUCCUAUUCCAUUUUCUGCUGAUGUGAGUGAUCUGCCUCUUCUUUGAUGUUGUAUGCUUCUACAGUGAAAGUACAGAGGAUAAAAAUACUACACCAUGUAAUCUGGCAUUUAUCCCAUGAGAGCAGAAUUCCAAAUUGUGACACAUGUCAAGAAGUUAAAAAAAAUAACUUAAAAGAGCCCUAUGCUUUCUACAGUGACAUACUCUGCAUUUAAACACCAUCAAACAUCAUUUUCCAUUACAAAUUUAGUCCCCUAUAUAAAAUUCAAAGAAUUUCUGUAACUUUAGUCAAAGAAAAUGACAGCAAUACUUACAAAAUAGCUACUAUAUUUACUAGUAGUUACACUGCAGCUUAGCUUUAUUCAAACCAAAUUCUAUGUUUUUUCCUUAAAAAGGCAAAAGAAAGAAAAAACUAACAUUUUUGUGCA